AGCAGUGGGGAAUAUUGCACAAUGGGCGAAAGCCUGAUGCAGCAACGCCGCGUGAGUGAUGAAGGCUUUCGAGUCGUAAAGCUCUUUGAUCAGGGAUGAUAAUGACAGUACCUGAAAAACAAGCCACGGCUAACUACGUGCCAGCAGCCGCGGUAAUACGUAGGUGGCGAGCGUUGUCCGGAAUUACUGGGCGUAAAGGAUGCGUAGGUGGAUAUUUAAGUGGGAUGUGAAAUCCCCGGGCUCAACCCGGGAACUGCAUUCCAAACUGGAUGUCUAGAGUGCAGGAGAGGAAAGCGGAAUUCCUAGUGUAGCGGUGAAAUGCGUAGAUAUUAGGAGGAACACCAGUGGCGAAGGCGGCUUUCUGGACUGUAACUGACACUGAGGCAUGAAAGCGUGGGUAGCAAACAGGAUUAGAUACCCUGGUAGUCCACGCCGUAAACGAUGGGUACUAGGUGUAGGAGGUAUCGACCCCUUCUGUGCCGUCGUUAACACAAUAAGUACCC
rnacentral:rRNA from 1 species